CUUCCGGUGAGCUGGAGGACCGCGCGCCCAUAGAGGACGACUUCCGGAGGACUGACGGGCUCUCCCGGGUGGUCCUGGAGCAUCGUGAGCUCCUGGCCUGAGCACUGAUGGCAGCUCCUAGUGCCGGGAAGGGCGGCCAGUGCUGAGAAACCGCUCCAGUGGCAGGGAGCUUGGCAUAGCCCUGGCAGUGCUGGCUGGCCCUGCAGCUGUCAGUUUUUCAGACCUGGUGGCACUCUGUCCCCCACCAUGGUGUUUCUCUGCAGCCAGGCCCUCCCCCACAGAGCACAGCGAGCACCCAGGGAGGAUCCCGUUUUUCUGCAGCUGCAGGGAAAAGGAAGGAGAAGGAGACUGAGCACCAAAAAGAGCCUGUGGCGGAAGGGAAGAUCGAGUCAUGAUUUCAUAUUCGGGAUUAGAAACCUAGUCAGGAGGCCUAUAAUUACCAUCAUUGCAAUAGGACAUUCAAGUAAACUGCU